rnacentral:lncRNA from 1 species
UCCAGCUGUGUGAACAGUUUUUUUGUGUUAAGGACCUAAGAUGAGGCCAGAGAUGCCAUUGGACAGCAGCAGAAUUAUGCUGGUCAUCACACUGAAGUGGAAAUCAGCAGCUUUGCAUGGCAAGAAAUGGUUCCUGGGCCAGAAUUCUGGCUGAUGGCUGUGCUGGGAUCUUUUACUCAGAAAUGACAAUCCCACAGAAACAAAGAGCCCCACACUAGUACAAGAGCCUCACAGAAAACCACACUAACACUGAAAGCAAUAAGGCCUAGUAAGGAGAUCAGCAGUUGGAUCUGCAUAGCAGUUCUCCUAUGGAGUCCAGAUAUCACCCACAUUCUGAGCCAGACCUGCUUCUAGAGAACCAAGUGCAAAGUCUGGGAAUCAGCAUUAAUUAUGGAUUAUUGAGAAGAAGGUUCUUAAUUAGGCCUUUCUGGGCUACCAGGCUUAGCUCUGCUAAAUUCUCUCUGCUGGAGCUCUCACUCCCUUGCCACCAAUGAACCAGAAAGCAAGGCAUGACAGACCUUGAAGCUUCCCUGCUCUCAGGCAUGAAGAGCUGAAAAUCCAUCCUCCAAGGAAUCUCUCACUCUUGUCUCUGCAGCAGGAGAUCUCCGGGCUCCCAGAAUUCAUGCCAUGACCCUAUAGAAAAGCUCUAACCUACAUCAUAGGACAGCCCAGAGUUAAAACCAUUGGCUGUUCUUUUGUCCCCACCAGGUACAGUAUCAGAAAUCCUUUUGACUGAAAAACAAAAUAGAGUUUCC